AGAUCUGGAGAGCAGUGGUCUUGCACAGUACAGCCAAGAUGGGGUGAAGGACUUCUCACAGAUUUACACAGACACAGAGAAUGGUCAAUUACUGGUUGGAGCAAGAGAUACAUUGUUGAGACUAGACCUUGACACAUUAACAGAAAUUGAGAAAGCUGAGUGGAAGCCUAAUGAGAUAAAUACAGCCAUCUGUGAGAGCAAGGGCGAAUCUCAGGUAAGCGGGGAAACCUCUUGAUCUGUGAUGUAUUAUUCUUGUAUGAUAUCUUCAUGGCUUUCUAAAACCUUAAAAGCAUUAACUUGAAAUUUGGAAGUCUUGGGAUUGGCCUAAUACAUUAUAUUGCCAUAUAAAUUGCCCUUACUGUUUGGAAAACUUAGGUUGUUAUAUUUCUCCUUUAUAAAAACUAAUUAAAAGUUUAUUUUUGUCAGAGCAGAUGAUCUUUGGAAUUGUACCUAAUCUGAAGUCCUUUGAUGGAGUUUGGUGCUUCCUCUAUUACAUCUGUGAAUAUCUCAUAUGGUAUUAGGACAUGGAUAAAUUUGUACAAGGUUGUAGAGCCCUAUUUCAUGGUUUUGACCACAUCAUACGAUAGAGGAAGGAAUGGUUAUGAUAAAUAAGAAAAUUGGGUUUUUGUUUCAAACCUAUCUGGAUUCCUUGUAGGGGCUCUGUCGGCUUGAGGGUACCUUCUAGCCUUCCCUACAUACACCUGGUUCAUGCCCUUGAACUGUUCCACUUGUGAAAUUUGCGCAAACAAAGUGGAUUCACUUCCUCGCCUAUCGCAUACCCAUCCCCCUAUGAAAUCAUGAUUGUCAAAUCCAAUAUACUUUGAGAUUGCUGCUAAAUUUCAGCACUUCAUUUUGGCCCUCACUCUCUGUGAAAUUCUUUCAAUGGGGUUUAUGAAAUGAUUGUGGGGACUGAAAUGGUGCUAUUUAUCGCUUUCGAUGUGAUUUGACUUUCACUUAAUGGUUCUUGCUUCUUGAAGUGGAAUGCACUUUCCUGGGCUGUAAAUGAAGUUUGCAAAAACAAGAACUGAUAGAGGCAAUAUUUCAGUAUUCAUUCAAGAGAGUAUAGUCAAGAAUACUCAUAAAAAUAUCUUUGUUAUGGUAGCAGUGUCAAUAAAUAAAAGCUGAGUAGCCUUUACAGCAUUUAUUACAUAUUGAGUUUCAGAGCAAAACAAGUGCUCAGAAACUAGUUCUUGAGCCUCGACCUUUAAAUAAGUUGCAAAAUCAUGUCUAUGAAACACAUUAUAGAAUACAACACCAAUAGACAGAUGGAUCAUGAAUUUUUCUUUCAAAACAAUGCACCCUUUUCCUGUCCUAGUAGUAUAAGGUUAAACUACCAUGCUGCUGGAGAUCUUUUCCUGCAGUUUUUCUGAGGAAUUCCAUUGUUUCCUAAAUGAAAAAGUGAUUUACAUGGAAGAUCAAUAUUUUCUGCUACUUGCAGCACCCUCUCAAGUUUAUCAAAAUACCAUUGGAAGUUUAAACAGAUCUUUAAAGUCAUUAAUGACACUGAUUCUACAGGAAAUUAGUCUCUUGUCAAAUUUUAUUCAAGAAAGUUAUAAACUGGAGAAAAAUAACUUUUUUUCCUAUAAAAAUGUUCACAAUUACAGUAAUAAGUUAACGUGCUAAUGCCCAAAAAUGUUAAUCUCAUGAUGAUGUUUUAGAGUUAAGAAAACUAAUUAGAUUCUGGUGUCAACCAUAGAUCCACGUUCAAGCUGCUAACUACUAAAAUGUGAAGAGCGACAAGUUCUCUUGUCAAACUUUGUUUCAUCUAAGAUUACUCAGUAGGCCUAACAGUGAUUAAGUUCUUGUAAUCUCCAAUUUUUCUUAAGACUAAUUUGUAAUUCACUAUGUGUAAGAUCAGAAACAGUUUACAAUAUUGUGCUCAAUACAUGAGUCUACAUCUGUGCCUUUUACAAGUAUGCUCUUGAAAUGUUGCAUCUUGACGGGUUUGAGGAAGCCCCCUUGACACCGCCAGAAGGUGCAGCCGCUAACGCUCUUCCUGCCGAUGGCAGAUAAGUGCCAAGCACGUAUCCACUCUCUGCCCAAGUGCAACCGGGUUCUUUCAAAGGCAUUCUCAUACCUACUCCAGUUUCUUUGCUCUCAUUUUGACAAAAGAUUGAAAUAACAAACAGAUGGAUCACCUGUGAGGAAGUGACAUUAGAGAAAGGCCUAAGACGUUGCUACCUCCCUCCCUCCGCGAGAGUUACCUCACUAUGAUUCAGAUAGUCCUAUAAGCGGCAAUAAGAGAAACGAAACCAGCUAAUCUAGAAAUGGGAUUCCCCCCUUAUGCAACUGCCAAGACUUAAGGGAAGGGAAGUUAAGAAAGCGAUAAAGCAUUAUCCAGACUCGAGGAGUGAUUUCGGGGAGUAUUACGUCAAGGGCCACAGCCCGGAACCAGACAACCAUGUUAAUUUGUUCAAUAUUUUAUUGAUAACCUCAAUAAGCAAUGAGUAAUGACACACCUACAUGUUGUAAUUGUUUUUGUUUGUUCUCGGUCGAUCCUGUUAUUUUUAUCAGAUUGUCAUGAUGCAGAAUGCAUGUAUCAUAUGUCAAGACGUUAUUUGUUUUAGGCUGAUGCCGAAUUUAUUUCUAUUUAUAUUGUAAUGAUCUAGGAUAUGUUUGUCAUCGUUGAGAUUGGAUCUAC